rnacentral:lncRNA from 1 species
AUAUAUAUUAUUAUAUAAUAAUAUUAAGAUUAAGCAAGCAAGAAAACGGAUGCGCGAGGCUAAGGCUAUAGGCUUGAGCGCGUUAGCGCUUAAUCAAUCCGUUGCUUGUUCCUUUCGUGACUCAAACAGCCGGUACGCUUUCCGGCUCGCAACGACUCAAAGGGGCGGGGGCUAUAUAUUUGCUUGCAAAGCAGGCUGUUCGCCUUUCGGAAAGGGCGAGCCUAUUUGAUUCAAAAGGCGCUACUAAACUACUCUAGUACAGCUAGUGUUAGUAGUACAACAGAAUGCCGUUCACCCCGCAAGCCCUUCGUAUGCAAGCCCUACUGAAGUACCAAAGGCGAACGGCAUUAGUACAGCUGUUAAGAAUACUCUCCGAUGUUGACUUUGUAAACUAAUAGGCCGGUAGGUUACUUUUGAAUCAAAGUAGCGACGAAAGGG